rnacentral:lncRNA from 1 species
GGAAGAUAUGGGUUCAUAAUGGGACAUUGUUGAACUAAGUUCUAUUGAAUCUUGAGUCAUUUUUGUGGGAUUCUUUGUUCUGUAAUGUCACCGACAAAUUUAGAAAUGUUUUCACUUUUACUCAUCAAUCCAGCUACAGAAAUAUGCUGGUGUUCUAUAAUUUUGGGUGGAAAUUUGCUAACUCAGACAUCAUAUACCCAGCAAAUAUGCAUUUCUACACGCGAACCAGAUGACUGGUCAAGAAAUGAAUUUUCCACUGCUGUAGAAGCCCAGUACUGUACUGCUUCUAAACUGCAUGUGCCUGCUUGCCUGGCUUUCUGGUUCAUUUAUGCUACGAGAAAGCUUUCUGUAAAUGGUCCAACUUUUCCAUAAGGCUUCAUAGGAUCUUCAGGAUGCUGUCACUGUUCACAGUACAGACCAAGUCUGAACAAUACCAAAUCUUCUGUUAUGAUGGCAGAUCCAGUGAAAGGAAAGCAUGUUGAAUAGAUGCCUUCAUUUCUGGAGGUGAUAUAUUUAGGUUAAAAAUAAACAUAUUGCUGAGACUUUGAUGAUUUACA